AGAAUCAACGCUGGCGGCGUGCCUAACACAUGCAAGUCGCACGAGAAAGGGGUAGCAAUACCCUGAGUACAGUGGCGCACGGGUGAGUAACACGUGAAUAAUCUACCUCCGAGUGGGGAAUAACUGAGAGAAAUCUUAGCUAAUACCGCAUAACACUUACGAGUCAAAGCAGCAAUGCGCUUGGAGAGGAGUUCGCGGCAGAUUAGUUAGUGGCGGGGUAAUGGCCCACCAAGACGAUGAUCUGUA
rnacentral:rRNA from 1 species